UGGAGAAUAGCCCUUGGAAACGAGGAUUAAUACUCCAUGGUAUCAUUCUUUCGCAUGUUAGAAUGAUUAAAGAAUUUCGGUAUGAGAUGGGCAUGCGUCCCAUUAGCUAGUUGGUGAGGUAACGGCUCACCAAGGCGACGAUGGGUAGGGGGCCUGAGAGGGUGGUCCCCCACACUGGUACUGAGACACGGACCAGACUCCUACGGGAGGCAGCAGUGAGGAAUAUUGGUCAAUGGAGGCAACUCUGAACCAGCCAUGCCGCGUGAAGGAUGACGGCCCUAUGGGUUGUAAACUUCUUUUAUAUGGGAAGAAACUUAUCUACGUGUAGAUAACUGACGGUACCAUACGAAUAAGGAUCGGCUAACUCCGUGCCAGCAGCCGCGGUAAUACGGAGGAUCCAAGCGUUAUCCGGAUUCAUUGGGUUUAAAGGGUCCGUAGGCGGAUUUUUAAGUCAGUGGUGAAAGCCGGCAGCUCAACUGUCGAACUGCCAUUGAUACUGGAAAUCUUGAGUACAAAUGAAGUAGGCGGAAUGAGUCAUGUAGCGGUGAAAUGCAUAGAUAUGACUCAGAACACCGAUUGCGAAGGCAGCUUACUAACAUGUAACUGACGCUGAGGGACGAAAGCGUGGGGAGCGAACAGGAUUAGAUACCCUGGUAGUCCACGCCGUAAACGAUCAUCACUCGCUGUUGGCGAUAUACUGUCAGCGGCCAAGCGAAAGUAUUAAGUGAUGCACCUGGGGAGUACGCCGGCAACGGUGAAACUCAAAGGAAUUGACGGGGGCCCGCACAAGCGGUGGAGCAUGUGGUUUAAUUCGAUGAUACGCGAGGAACCUUACCAGGGCUUAAAUGUAGUAUGACCGGUCUGGAAACAGACCUUCCCUUCGGGGCAGAUUACAAGGUGCU
rnacentral:rRNA from 1 species